GCGCCGCCCGAGCAGCCAUGUCCGAGGAGAAGCCCAAGGAGGGCGUGAAGACAGAGAACGACCACAUCAAGCUGAAGGUGGCCGGGCGGGACGGCUCCGUGGUGCAGUUCAAGAUCUAGAGGCACCCGCCGCUGAGCAAGCUGAUGAAGGCCUACUGCGGGAGGCAGGGCUUGUCAAUGAGACAGAUUAGAUUCAGGUUUGACGGGCAGCCAAUCAAUGAGACCGACACUCCAGCACAGCUGGAGAUGGAGGACGAGGACACCAUCGAUGUGUUCCAGCAGCAGACAGGAGGUGCGCCGGAGAGCAGCCUGGCGGGGCAUGGUUUCUAGAGGGCCGUCUCCAGCCUGGGCCGUCCGUCCUUGCAUUGCUGUUGAAUGGUGACCAUGCCGACCACAAAGUCGUCUGUGAAAACUUGAGGACGUUCACCACAACGGUUUUCCUCUCCUUGAUGUACUUCAAGUUCGACUCAAAACUCUAUCUGCAGGGAUGAAUCUGUAACUGAAAUCAGGCCAAUCAGAAUUGUUACCUUUGUUCAGGCUCGCUGGCCCUUGAGCAUGUGACCUUGCAGUCUGAGGCCCAGGACCCACCCCCCUGCCACCCUCCCACCCCACUCCCUGCUCAGUACCUGGCAUUGGCACACAGGCAAGAAUUGGCACAACCAGAAUUGGCUUUUUCUUCUUAAUACUGAAGAAAUUCCCACGUUUCUCAUUUGGUAUUGGUGUUGUGGCCUCAGAUUUCUUCUAGUAUUUGCUUCUGAUGAAUAAUUAUGGUCUAUACAUAAAAAAGUAAGAUUAAGUAUUGCUGAAUUUGCAGUUACGUUGUUGUGUAAAAGAGCUUCCAAGUGUGGUUACAAAUGAACCCAUGGAAUGAUGACUUCACGUUCUUCUCGUGGGUUUGUGCUGUGCUGCUUUCUAAAUAUGUAUUGAAUUUAUGCAUUAGUCUGGUGAUUUCAGUUCUGUGAAAUAUUUUGGGAUCUAUACCAAUUAAACAUUUUCAUAGUUCAAAAAAAAAAA